rnacentral:rRNA from 1 species
UACGAAGGGGGCUAGCGUUGUUCGGAAUCACUGGGCGUAAAGCGCACGCAGGCGGAUUGAUAAGUCAGGGGUGAAAUCCCGGAGCUCAACUUCGGAAUUGCCUUUGAUACUGUCUGUCUUCGAGUUCGGGAGAGGUUGGCGGAAUUCCUAGUGUAGAGGUGAAAUUCGUAGAUAUUCGCAAGAACACCAGUGGCGAAGGCGGCUCACUGGCCCGGUACUGACGCUGAGGUGCGAAAGCGUGGGGAGCAAACAGG